rnacentral:rRNA from 1 species
GCGUGGAGGAUGAAUGCCGUAAGGUUGUAAACUCCUUUUGAAGGGGACGAAAAAAUAGGUUGGUAGCCUAUAUUGACUGUACCCUUAGAAAAAGCCCCGGCUAACUACGUGCCAGCAGCCGCGGUAAUACGUAGGGGGCAAGCGUUGUCCGGAUUUACUGGGUGUAAAGGGCGCGUAGGCGGGCUUGUUAGUCAGAGGUGAAAUACUGCGGCUUAACCGUAGAACUGCCUUUGAUACUGCAAGCCUUGAGUUCGGAAGAGAGAGAUGGAAUUCCAGGUGUAGUGGUGAAAUACGU